GUGGCUCACAUUCAGAGGACUUGGGGCACUGCUGACAUCUCUCCCACGGCAGCAGGAUGGGGGAGCCAGGCAGGGGUCGGGCUCUGCUCCCUGGGAACAAGGAACAGGACAAGAGGAAAUGGACUCCAACUGUGCCCAAGAAGGUUCAGGUGAAGGUCUCCAAACUGCCAGCACCCAUGUCAUCUGCUCAGGUCUCAG